CCUGUUAGGUUAUAGCAGCCCGUACCGUAAACCGACACAGGUAGUCGAGGAGAAUAUCCUAAGGCGCUCGAGUGAUCCGUGGUAAAGGAACUAGGCAAAUUGACGCUGUAACUUCGGGAUAAGGCGUGCCGCAGUGAUGCGGCCUCAGUAAAAUGGUCCAACCAACUGUUUAACAAAAACACAGGGCCCUGCAAAAUCGAAAGAUGACGUAUAGAGCCUGAUACCUGCCCGGUGCUGGAAGGUUAAGGAAGGAUGUUCGGCGCAAGCCAAAGCUUCUGACUGAAGCCCCAGUAAACGGCGGCCGUAACUAUAACGGUCCUAAGGUAGCGAAAUUCCUUGUCGGGUAAGUUCCGACCUGCACGAAUGGUCUAAUGAGUUGGACACUGUCUCUACCACGAGCUCGGUGAAAUUGUAGUAUCGGUGAAGAUGCCGGUUAAUCGCAACGGGACGGAAAGACCCCGUGAACCUUCACUACAACUUAACAUUGAUUUUGAAUGCCAGAUGUGUAGGAUAGUUGGGAGACUUUGAAGCAGCUUCGCUAGGAGUUGUGGAGUCGUCGUUGAAAUACCAACCUUCUGUUAUUUAGAGUCUAACUCCUGUAAGGGAGGACAUUGUUUGGUGGGUAGUUUGACUGGGGUGGUCGCCUCCUAAAAAGUAACGGAGGCUUGCAAAGGUACCCUCAGUACGGUUGGUAAUCGUACGCAGAGCGCAUUAGUAUAAGGGUGCUUGACUGUGAGGCAAACAAGCCGAGCAGGAGCGAAAGCUGGCUAAAGUGAUCCGGUGGUUCUGAAUGGAAGGGCCAUCGCUCAAAGGAUAAAAGGUACUCCGGGGAUAACAGGCUGAUCUCACCCAAGAGCUCAUAUCGACGGUGAGGUUUGGCACCUCGAUGUCGGUUCGUCACAUCCUGGGGCUGGAGAAGGUCCCAAGGGUUCGGCUGUUCGCCGAUUAAAGUGGCACGUGAACUGGGUUCAGAACGUCGCAAGACAGUUCGGUCCCUAUCUGUUGUGAUCGUUAGUAAAUUGAGAGGACAUGACCUUAGUACGAGAGGACCGGGUCGUACGUACCGCUGGUGUAUCUGUUGUGCCGCCAGGUGCAGUGCAGAGUAGCUAUGUACGGGCAAGAUAAACGCUGAAAGCAUCUAAGCGUGAAACUUACCUCGAGAUGAGUUUACUUUUAAGGGCCGUCGGAGACUACGACGUUGAUAGGCUACAGGUGUAAGGAUAGUAAUAUCGAAGCCGAGUAGUACUAAUUGCCCGUAAGCUUUAGUAA
rnacentral:rRNA from 1 species